GCCCCUCAGCCUGCCCACCCUGGUGUGAGACGGGGCCCUGGGUCUGGGAGGGCGCAGACAGAAGGAAUGAGAGCGAGGCUCUCAGCAGCCCGAGGGAGCUAUCUAGAGACCAUGAGGAAACAGGCCUGCAGAUGGAAGUGGGGUCUUCUGAGGAUGCUCAGAGCGAUGAGGGGAUGGAAAGAGGCUGCAUCCUUGAUGACGUGGUUGAGCAGCUGCACCAAAUCUGGAGAAGAAUCUCCGACUUUCAGGAUGGAAACUACUAUUGCACGGAGCACUUUUAGAUGGAUUCCUUCAGGAUCGACACUGCUGGAUGUGUGAGCAAGCAGAGCUGUGUAGCACGGAAGCUGCAGCCCUGCCGCUGGUCCGCGGGGUUGCCAGUGCAGGCUCCAGGACAUGGAACCCUAAAGAUGGGAGCCUUUGGGAGGGUGGUUGUUAGAUGAGGGGAAGGCUGAAAACAUGCAUAUGCGUAAACCCUUGCUACGUACUCAACAAUUACACAAACAUUCUUGCACAGCUGUCGUUAAGAAGCCCCUUGGAAAAUCCUCCUCUUCUGAGGAACUUAACCUUCUGUCUCAGUGUAGUCUAGGCUAAUCAGGUGUUCUGGGAAACAAGCCAACCUGCACGAAGAGCGCCUGCAGAUAUGACAUGCAAUGUCUGCAGCCUUUAGUAGAAGAGUCUCAAACCCUUUUCUCUAUUGUCCAUCUCAGACCAAAGGGGACGUUUAAUGACCAGAUCACUCUUGUACCAAUGGGCAGGGGAGGUGUGUUUUGGCCCAGGGCACGGCAAUGGGCCCACCCACUGCAGCCCCGUUUUGUAUCCUGUUCAGGCUGUCCUUGAAACUUGGAAUAUGUUUCCAUUCUUCCCAUGCUUUCUCUGAAGUAUGCUAACCCUGGGUGAAAGGAGGUGGAGGAGAAUGUCUCGGGUGGCAGAGACAAGCGCAGGCCACACGGCUCGGGCUGGAGAGCCAGCCCCUGAGGCCAAGGCGCAGUAUCGGCCCCGAUGGGGCCCAGGCCUGUCUGGGAAUGCAGGGCAGCUGGCUCUCAUCACACUCAUCUCCAGUGGUGGCGGCAUGCCCUGCGCAUCCGUACCUGUCCUCAGUGACCCAUUCUCAUCCCUGAGUGUGCAGAGCGAGGACAGUUGAGAGGACACCCCAGGGGACGGGCCCAUAAAUACGAACAGGUUUUGCUCAGGUACAACUCUGAUGAGU